GGGUUUAUACUUGGAUUUAGGGUUUAGUGAUUAAAAUUUAGGGUUUAGUGUUUGGAAGGUUGGGGUUGAGGUUUGGGUUUAGUGACUCUAUCAUGUAUCCAUUUGACGAUUAAUAAAUAAUAUACUAUUUCGUUCUCGAUAUGUACUAUACUAUAUAUUUUGUUCCAUUCUAUUUAGGUUUGGGAUCUACUUGGAUUUAGGGUUUAAUAAGUAGGAUUUAGGGUUUAAUAUUUGGAAGAUGGUGGUUAAGGUUUGGGUUUAGUGACCCUAUCAUGUAUCGUUCCAUUUGACGAUUAAUAAAAAGUGUUCUAUUUUGUUCACCAAUAUAUACUAUACUAUGUAUUUUGUUACAUUCUAUUUGGGUUUGGGGUAUAUACUUUGGUUUAUGGUCUAUAAUUGGGUUUAAUGUUUAGUGAUUAUGAUUUAGGGUUUAGUAUUUGGAAAGUGGGGGUUGAGUUUUGGAUUUAGUGAUAACAGUUUAAAGUUUAGUAUUCAAAAUUUAGAUUUAGAUUUAGAGUUUAUAUAUGAGUUUAUGGAUUAUAUUUGGUUUUAGGGUUUACUGAUUAGAGUUUAGGGUUUAGUGAUUAUAGUUUAGGAUUUAUUAUUUAGAUGUUUGUGGAUUUGGGAUCAAAUUUAUUAUUUAGGGAUUAUGAUAUAGUUAAAUUUUUUAUACUAUUUGGAUGAUAUGGAACAUAACAGUCCGAUUUAAUUGUGAGAAGUAAAUGGAAUAUACUAUUUAUUGUAAGAGUAAUUUAUUUUCAUGAACAGAUUUACUGAGCACAAAAACAUAUGAAGUAGUUACGUAAAUGAUGUGGAUGGAUUUGGUGUCUUCAU
rnacentral:lncRNA from 1 species